rnacentral:rRNA from 1 species
CCUACGGGAUGCAGCAGUGAGGAAUAUUGGUCAAUGGACGAGAGUCUGAACCAGCCCAGUAGCGUGAAGGAUGACUGCCCUAUGGGUUGUAAACUUCUUUUAUAUGGGACUAAAAUGUUCCACGUGUGGGAUUUUGUAUGUACCAUAUGAAUAAGGAUCGGCUAACUCCGUGCCAGCAGCCGCGGUAAUACGGAGGAUCCGAGCGUUAUCCGGAUUUAUUGGGUUUAACGGGAGCGUAGGUGGAUUGUUAAGUCAGUUGUGAAAGUUUGCGGCGCAACCGUAAAAUUGCAGUUGAAACUGGCAGUCUUGAGUACAGUAGAGGUGGGCGGAAUUCGGGGUGUAGCGGUGAAAUGCGUAGAGAUCACGAAGAACACCGAUUGCGAAGGCAGUUCACUGGACUGCAACUGACACUGAGGCGCGAAAGUGUGGGUAUCAAACAGGAUUAGAUACCCCUGUAGUC